rnacentral:rRNA from 7 species
GGUUGACCUCGGAUCAGGUAGGGAUACCCGCUGAAC